rnacentral:rRNA from 1 species
UGAGGAAUUUUGCGCAAUGGGGGAAACCCUGACGCAGCAACGCCGCGUGAUUGAAGAAGGUUUGAGGACUGUAAAAAUCUGUUAUAGGGGAAGAAUGACUUAUACUUUAACACAGUAUUUGAAUGACGGUACCUUAUGAGGAAGCCCCGGCUAACUUCGUGCCAGCAGCCGCGGUAAUACGAGGGGGGCAAGCGUUAUCCGGAUUUAUUGGGCGUAAAGGGCUCGUAGGCUGAUUUGAAAGUCAAAAUUGAAAUACAAUGGCUUAACCAUUGAACCGGUUUUGAUACUGCAAAUCUUGAGUUAUGUAGAGGCAAGUGGAAUUCCUGGUGUAGCGGUGAAAUGCGUAGAUAUCAGGAGGAACACCAACGGCGAAGGCAACUUGCUGGGCAUAUACUGACGCUGAGGAGCGAAAGCAUGGGUAGCAAACAGG